UACGGGGGGGGCAAGCGUUGUUCGGAAUUACUGGGCGUAAAGGGCUCGUAGGCGGCCAACUAAGUCAGACGUGAAAUCCCUCGGCUUAACCGGGGAACUGCGUCUGAUACUGGUUGGCUUGAAUCCGGGAGAGGGAUGUGGAAUUCUCGGUGUAGAGGUGAAAUUCGUAGAUAUCGAGAGGAACAUCGGUGGCGAAGGCGGCCAACUGGACGAAUACUGACGCUGAGACUCGAAAGCGUGGGGAGCAAACAGG
rnacentral:rRNA from 1 species